GAAUUCGCCCUUAGAGUUUGAUCCUGGCUCAGGACGAACGCUGGCGGCGCGCCUAACACAUGCAAGUCGAACGAGCGAGAGAGAGCUUGCUUUCUCAAGCGAGUGGCGAACGGGUGAGUAACGCGUGAGGAACCUGCCUCAAAGAGGGGGACAACAGUUGGAAACGACUGCUAAUACCGCAUAAGCCCACAGGUCGGCAUCGACCAGAGGGAAAAGGAGCAAUCCGCUUUGAGAUGGCCUCGCGUCCGAUUAGCUAGUUGGUGAGGUAAUGGCCCACCAAGGCGACGAUCGGUAGCCGGACUGAGAGGUUGAACGGCCACAUUGGGACUGAGACACGGCCCAGACUCCUACGGGAGGCAGCAGUGGGGAAUAUUGCACAAUGGGGGAAACCCUGAUGCAGCGACGCCGCGUGGAGGAAGAAGGUCUUCGGAUUGUAAACUCCUGUUGUUGAGGAAGAUAAUGACGGUACUCAACAAGGAAGUGACGGCUAACUACGUGCCAGCAGCCGCGGUAAAACGUAGGUCACAAGCGUUGUCCGGAAUUACUGGGUGUAAAGGGAGCGCAGGCGGGAAGACAAGUUGGAAGUGAAAUCUAUGGGCUCAACCCAUAAACUGCUUUCAAAACUGUUUUUCUUGAGUAGUGCAGAGGUAGGCGGAAUUCCCGGUGUAGCGGUGGAAUGCGUAGAUAUCGGGAGGAACACCAGUGGCGAAGGCGGCCUACUGGGCACCAACUGACGCUGAGGCUCGAAAGUGUGGGUAGCAAACAGGAUUAGAUACCCUGGUAGUCCACACCGUAAACGAU
rnacentral:rRNA from 1 species